rnacentral:rRNA from 1 species
GACGAACGCUGGCGGCGUGCCUAACACAUGCAAGUCGAACGGAACUGUUUUGAAAGCUUUCUUCGGAAUGAAUUUGAUUUAGUUUAGUGGCGGACGGGUGAGUAACGCGUGAGUAACCUGCCUUCAAGAGGGGAAUAACAUUCUGAAAAGAAUGCUAAUACCGCAUGACAUAUCGGAACCACAUGGUUUUGAUAUCAAAGAUUUUAUCGCUUGAAGAUGGACUCGCGUCCGAUUAGUUAGUUGGUGAGGUAACGGCUCACCAAGACCGCGAUCGGUAGCCGGACUGAGAGGUUGAACGGCCACGUGGGGACUGAGACACGGCCCAGACUCCUACGGGAGGCAGCAGUGGGGGAUAUUGCGCAAUGGGGGCAACCCUGACGCAGCAACGCCGCGUGAAGGAUGAAGGUUUUCGGAUUGUAAACUUCUUUUAUUAAGGACGAAAAAUGACGGUACUUAAUGAAUAAGCUCCGGCUAACUACGUG